rnacentral:rRNA from 1 species
UACGUAGGUGGCAAGCGUUGUCCGGAUUUACUGGGUGUAAAGGGCGUGCAGCCGGGAGUGCAAGUCAGAUGUGAAAUCCCGCGGCUCAACCGCGGAACUGCAUUUGAAACUGUGCUUCUUGAGUGCUGGAGAGGCAGACGGAAUUCCUAGUGUAGCGGUGAAAUGCGUAGAUAUUAGGAGGAACACCGGUGGCGAAAGCGGCUCUCUGGCCUGUAACUGACACUGAGGCUCGAAAGCGUGGGGAGCAAACAGG